AGAAUCUUGCUCAAUGGGCGCAAGCCUGAGGCAGCGACGCCGCGUGAACGAAGAAGGUCUUCGGAUUGUAAAGUUCAGUAAGCAGGGAAAAAUAAGCAGCAAUGUGAUGAUGGUACCUGCC
rnacentral:rRNA from 1 species